UAGCAGCAAAAACACAUACAAAAAUCAGAAUAAUGGUUUAAGCUUAUGUAGCAUCGAAACUUCAUAUUUGAAAAUAGACAAUUGAAUUAAUGAUAUGACUUACUUUGUUGAGGUUCCAAAUUUUGAGCAUUGUUUUGCCAUCAUGUAAAGGGUCAUGAAACAAAGAGUCUAUAGUUGGAAGUGCAUAAUGUUGACAGCGCAAAAUGGAACCAUCAGGUAAAACAAUCUUGUGAAGUAAGUUGAAGUUGUGGUUACCAACAGAAUCGCUUACAUAAAUUGGUCCACCAGAGAUGGCACGAGAAGCAGCAUGGAAAUAAGAACAAGGAUGAUUUGAUUGGAACAUGUCCCAAUCUGGAUGUAUAAAAUUUCC
rnacentral:lncRNA from 1 species